rnacentral:rRNA from 1 species
UACGUAGGUGGCAAGCGUUGUCCGGAUUUACUGGGCGUAAAGAGCGCGCAGGCGGUCGAUCAAGUCGAGUGUGAAAGCCCCCGGCUCAACUGGGGAGGGUCAUUCGAUACUGAUCGACUCGAAGGCAGGAGAGGGUAGUGGAAUUCCCGGUGUAGUGGUGAAAUGCGUAGAUAUCUGGAGGAACACCGGUGGCGAAGGCGGCAUUCUGGACUGUAACUGACACUGAGGAACGAAAGCCAGGGGAGCAAACGGG